GUAAGAAAAUCCAAAAGCUGUCAUUAUCUGUGAGACUCUUUUCCUUAUUUUUCUAAUCUUUAUUUUAUUACAUUCUUUCCACAGGUCCCAUCUCCGAAACCAUGAUGAAAUUAGCGCUUGUACUGGGAUGCCUCCUGAGCCUGACACUGGCUAACCCUAUGGAUGAGGAACGGAAGCGAUUUGCUCGAUCUAGCUCGAACUCGAACUCCAAUUCAGACGAGAAUUCUUCCUCGACCAAUAACCUGCUUCUUCAGUUGCUCGUCGCUCUUGUUCAAGCUUCUCUAACUACAACUACUCCUACAACUACAACUACAACUGCUGCUCCUACGACUACAACUGCUGCUACGACUACAACUGCUGCUACGACUACAACUGUGGCUACUGCGGCUCCUAGUUCUUGAGCCGCUCGUCCAUAAAAAACCAUGAAAGCAGUUAAAUUUCUUGUGUUUGCUCCAUUUUACAGAAAUAGCAUGCUUAACUCCUGAUCAUAAGUUCAAGUAAAAUGUCUGAUUCAACUUUGUGAUUAAAAGAGUGUUUCAAUAAAACUUAACAC
rnacentral:lncRNA from 1 species